UCUCUUGUGGUGCUUUCAAGAAGACUGGGAACUUGGGGAAAAAAGGUCAAAUCAAGACGUCAGUAAUCUUCAGAGUUUCCGACUUGGAAUUCCGAGUUGGACGACCUUUGAAAUGGCUUUUGCACCAUCGGAGUUGGUUUUUCCCGAGUUUCCAGUUGUCUUGAACGCGGCAUAAAGUACAGAUACUGGGGCAUCUUCUAACGUCAUUGUUAUACCGGCUGCCUAUCUACUGUUAGCAAGCUAACUUAGUGUGUUAAAUGAAAAAGGCAAUCGAUCGUUGUUGAGGUUAGCUAGCAACUUAGUCAACGACAGUCAUGCCAAGUUAAAUGAUCAUGUUUUCUUAGCCAGUUGGCUAGUUAACCAGUUAGCUAACGUGUGUGUACUAGCCACUGCCUGGCACAGCUAGCUAGCACCAGGCUAACGUUAUUAACGCCAGUGACUUGGAGGAAGUUUCCACCAUAAAUCCAGGGAAUGCCAGACGUUGAUGACAAAGUUUGAUGACAAAAUUAGCCCACACAGGACCGCCGCGCCACCUUCAUGUUUAAGUGAGCACAUCACAAGCCAAGUUUGUUUCUCAGGGCUACCUCAGAAGGACAUGGAGAGGUCUGAGCUGCAGAGAGCUUUGACUGGUACUGUGGACGUGGAGGGAGCUGUAGGACGGCCUUUGCUGGGCUGUGUAGCUAGAAGCUGAAAGACGUCUUCACAUGACCAUCGCCAUGGGCCAGCUCUGUCCAUGCUGAUUCGCGGCACGGUGGUCAGCUGCCAGAACCUUGAACCAGAAAGACUUGGAGAUGCCCAUUCUCAAGAGCUUCCUCAACUACAUCCUGCUGCUGUUCACCUACACCGCAUAGCUCAGCCUCAGGGAAGGUCAGAGGCUGCCGCCCCCAAUGCUAAACAUGCUAAUGCUAACCAUGCUAGCAGGCAAAUGCUAAACAUCCCAUAUUGAUUUACAUUCAUUUUUGGUCAGAAAAUGCUAAUAUUAGUGAGAAUCCAUCACCUUCCUCAUUGAGGCUGCCUCCCAGGUUUGAGCCAGGUGACCCGUUUUGGCCGACAGCAAAGUCAGGUCAAAACAAAAGUGGAGUAAUGAGUAGGAUUCUGCUUUUGAUAAAAAUGCUUCAUCUGCCUUCGCAAUGAAAACUAGUUUGAAAAUUCUAACAUAUAUUUUAUAGCAAAGGGAUGUUGUAUGUUUUUGAACGAUGCAUCAUGCUACCUUGAUGACAAUAUGCCCAGCGGCGCAGAAUACUGUUUGAUUUGAGAAGGGCGCUCCUCCCUCACUUCUUUUGCCAGUUCACUUCAUGCGCCAUAGUGCCGGUGGACCGCUGUUCACCUUAAUCGACCUCCCUCAUUAAUUGCAGGGGCCCUGUUGGAAUCAUUUAGAAAUGCAUCCUCCCUUGAUUCCUUGUAGUACAGGUAGUCAUUUCACUUUUCAGACCGUUUUGACUAAAACAACGCUGCUGCUAACUCAUAAAAUAUUUAGUUUUAGUCUCACACUGGAUUCUCACUAUGCUGUUUCAACAUGUGAUGGGAAUAUGUUACAGAUUUUAAAAACAAUAUGGGGGUGGUAUUUACUUAUGGGACUGAUGGACGUGGAGGCAAACUAAGCAGUGGUGAAGGCGAACCAAUUUAAUUCAUGUAAGAAAUGACUCAAACCGGUGCAUACUGUGUAUUUUGGGUGAAGGAUGGCUCAGUAAUGAAUGUUUCUAGGACCUAGGUGAUACAUUUGUUCCAGAUGUGCAACAAAUGAAUAGUCAAUUGUCUUUCAGUUGCCUUGUAUGGAAUCAGCAUUUUACACCCGAAAAACACUGGUUCUGGUUGCAUCUGCUUGACUGCUUUGCGAUCCCAGUGCUGAUGGUGCUCUCCUGGAUCUUUCUGUUUUUUUGGUUACUACAUGAUUCCAUAUAUGUUAUUUCAUUGUUUUGAUGCCUUUACUAUUAUUCUGUAAUG